rnacentral:lncRNA from 1 species
GGCUGCUGUUGUCAAUAAAGUCCACCUCACUCUUCUUGAUAAGGAGAUCAUUUAUCGUUUAGAAUCAUGGCUCAGUUUUUUUCUGUGCUGAUGCACACAGCUAAUGCAUGUCAUUAAUGCAGUCCAGAGGGAACAGUUCAGAAGAUGAGAGGAUAAUUUACUCACCAUGGGCAUUCAGUCUUCAGCCUCCUUGCUGAAAUUCCCCUGCUGUUUUGGAUUCUGUUUCCUGCCAUAAACCUGCCCUACCUUUAAUAACCAGAAAUGCAGUAAGCCUACCAGUUUAAUCCAAGGAUGGAAAGGUCUGGUUUGUCUCCACAGGGAAAGAAAAUUCGGUUCGGAGGGGCAUAACUGCUGCUUUCAAAACGUGCUGUGCUGCAGGGGCGUUGCAUGGUGCUGUUACUUUAUCUGUUACAGUCAAUACAUGUCAUUAGCAGUGAACCCUGUUAAUAAGUGUUUGUGCCUGUUACCUUGUUGAUGAUCCAUCUGAAGUAUAAAGCUAUGAGAGAAAGCACCUGAAGACAAGGAAAAGUUGAAGAAGACAGGAAUAGA